rnacentral:lncRNA from 1 species
UAUGUUCUGCCCAUUCUUAUUUUUUGUUGAAACUUUUUAUGCACUUUUAGAGGAGUGCUUUGUGUGUAUGCUAGCAUGGAGAACCUGAACUUCUCCCAGAUAUAUUGGAAAACUCCUUGCAAGGAAGUAAUGCAUUUGUGGAUAUAUACAGACUACUAACCAUUCCACCUGCAACCAGUAAAAACCAUACAGCAGUUUGGAGAAAAAACAUGACAAAUUAUAACAAAAUAGCAUGUUCCAAUACCCAUAUUAUAUGUUCUUCGCUUGGUUUUUCCUGUAACUGCUAAAGCGUUAUUGAUGCUACCAUAUAGUGAUGAGCCAGUAUCAAAGGCCUGUUUUUUAGUAGUGUCAAUCACAACAUUAGAUAACAUGAAACUAGCUAGGAGCAGUUAGAAGCAAGCAGAAGUUUUUGGGAUAACUGAUGAGUGUGGGUUUUGUUACAUGAAUAUUACAUGUUUGUUUCAUCUCUUGGGUACAUAUUAUAAUGCAUUUGCCUUCCUUAUUCCAUGCAACUCAGCACAUAAAAGACUAUAAAACCAGGCAAUUGAAGUAGUAUUUAAUUAAAUGCAAAUAUACAUGGAUCAUAUAAAUAUAUGUUUGGUGAAGAUGGAUUCCAUUAUAUUUUUCAUUAAUUACAACAAGACUUAGUAUGCAACUAAUAAUGAAUUUUUAAUCAACUAAAAUAUACUACUCUGUGCUCAAUCCUUGUGAUACUCGUAAUUGUCUGACAUCCCUUAGACAGUUGUACUCUACUCACCGUCUUUUGCCCAUAAUUUCCACAUUGUUACUUACAACAAAGUAAAAACAAUGUUUUAUUGAUCAAAGUCACUAAUUAGACUUGCUCAACCAUGGAUUCUAGUGUUGCUUCCUUCUGAUCUUCCCUGCCUUUCUUAUCCUCUUCCGUUUGUUUGUGCUCCUGCUCAUCAUGCAUACCGAUGUCCAUUGUAUUCACCUUAUUGCAUGCAGCAGUCUUACUUUCCUUGCUUUUACCCCAUAGCACGCAGUAAAGACCUC